rnacentral:lncRNA from 1 species
ACUAGUUUUAGUCCAUAAUAGCACCAUGGAGCACUCACGUCGGCCCCUCCCUGCUCUAAGACAGAGAGAUGAUGCUUCUUCCCAAGGAAAUGUCUAGCUCCUGGGAGGGACCUCAUAGAUGGUUCUUCUUAAAGACAUCCAAGACAAACUGGGAGGCUGUGACCUGACCUACUUCCUCUGAUGGAUUUCGCCAAGUGACCCCCUUUGACUCUGAGCCUCUUGAUGUGGAUUUUGUUCCCUGAGCACCGAGGGAAUCUGUGCCCCAUGUCGCCAUGACAGCUGGGGUGGCGUUUUCACAGCUGUCAGCAGAGGGGUUCAGGUCUUUGUUACACCUGACUUGGGCCGGCAGGAGCUCCCAGAGGUCUUCCUGGAUCUGUCAGGCUCAGCUGAGACGUGGGGGGAUUCUUUCUGCCUGAGAAGCCCCAGGAGAGAAGGGGACAGCUGGCCGUCUUUGCACCCGAGGGAACUAAGGAAGAGGCUGGCCCAGAGUUCCAAACCAGGAGAACUACACCUGUAUUUCUGAUAGCGACUGGACAAAGAGGACUGGGACCCUCAACUUCUCCAGAAGACGAGACACCCCCCUCCCCUGCUCCUAGGGUGGACAGGCCUGACGCUCCUCCAGUGGCCUCCCAUGAGCCAUGACCAGGCUGGAAAAAACUGGGAUGGGACCCAUGGGCAUUUAAAGAUGGGAAUUGGGAUACUGGGCUGAGGCUGGGGCAGGGAGGUGAGACAGAAGAACUGAGGGUGCAGACAGAAGAAACCAGGUGUGGAGGGGUCAGGGGUCGAGUGACGCCGGCAAGCGCAUGGCUGUGCUGCAGGACCGUCCAGGAAAAGGGUGGCCAUGGAGGACUCACAAUAAAUACAGCCGGAGUCUCGGAGGCUGCAUGUUUCACUGUGUGAAACACCCACAGCUAAGUUGAGCAGAUUCGUCAAGUAGUCGUGACAAAGGCAGGCAGGUACCCGAGGUGCCAGGACACUUGGCCAGCAUCCCAGGGGCCACCCACAAAAAGUGGGUGGCAUCAGGAAAAGUGGUUGAGUCCCCUCCGCGGUGAUCCCACCCUGGACAGGGGACGUUCUCCAAGGAGGCCAGGUGUGCCACCUGUGGUCAAGGAGUGGUCUGCCUGCAG